rnacentral:rRNA from 1 species
GACGAACGCUGGCGGCGUGCCUAAUACAUGCAAGUAGAACGCUGAAGGAGGAGCUUGCUUCUCUGGAUGAGUUGCGAACGGGUGAGUAACGCGUAGGUAACCUGCCUGGUAGCGGGGGAUAACUAUUGGAAACGAUAGCUAAUACCGCAUAACAGUAGAUAUCGCAUGAUAUCUACUUGAAAGGUGCAAUUGCAUCACUACCAGAUGGACCUGCGUUGUAUUAGCUAGUUGGUGAGGUAACGGCUCACCAAGGCGACGAUACAUAGCCGACCUGAGAGGGUGAUCGGCCACACUGGGACUGAGACACGGCCCAGACUCCUACGGGAGGCAGCAGUAGGGAAUCUUCGGCAAUGGACGGAAGUCUGACCGAGCAACGCCGCGUGAGUGAAGAAGGUUUUCGGAUCGUAAGGCUCUGUUGUAAGAGAAGAACGAGUGCGAGAGUGGAAAGUUCACACUGUGACGGUAUCUUACCAGAAAGGGACGGCUAACUACGUG